UACGGAGGGUGCGAGCGUUGUCCGGAAUCAUUGGGCGUAAAGGGCGCGUAGGUGGCCCGGUCAGUCUUUGGUGAAAGCGCGGGGCUCAACCCUGCGUCGGCCAGGGAUACUGCCGCGGCUCGAGCACUGUAGAGGCAGGCGGAAUUCCGGGUGUAGCGGUGGAAUGCGUAGAGAUCCGGAAGAACACCGGAGGCGAAGGCGGCUUGCUGGGCGUGAUCUGACGCUGAGGCGCGAAAGCGUGGGGAGCGAACAGG
rnacentral:rRNA from 1 species